rnacentral:rRNA from 1 species
AGCGUGACCAAAAAUCAGUUUGGUUUCAUGCCUGAGAGGUCGACCAUGGAAGCCAUUUUCUUGGUACGACAACUUAUGGAGAGAUAUAGGGAGCAAAAGAAGGACUUGCAUAUGGUGUUCAUUGACUUGGAGAGGGCCUAUGAUAAGAUACCGCGGAAUGUCAUGUGGUGGGCCUUGGAGAAACACAAAGUCCCAGCAAAGUACAUUACCCUCAUCAAGGACAUGUACAAUAAUGUUGUGACAAGUGUUCGAACAAGUGAUGUCGACACCGAUGACUUCCCGAUUAAGAUAGGACUGCAUCAGGGGUCAGCUUUGAGCCCUUAUCUUUUUGCAUUGGUGAUGGAUGAGGUCACAAGGGGUAUACAAGGAGAUAUCCCAUGGUGUAUGCUCUUUGCGGAUGAUGUGGUGCUAGUUGACGAUAGUCAGACGGGGGUAAAUAGGAAGUUAGAGUUAUGGAGACAAACCUUGGAAUCG